rnacentral:rRNA from 1 species
UACGUAGGGGGCAAGCGUUGUCCGGAAUUAUUGGGCGUAAAGAGCGCGUAGGCGGUCCGAUAAGUCGGCUGUGAAAGUCAGGGGCUCAACCCUUGAAAGCCGGCCGAUACUGUCGGACUAGAGUCCGGAAGAGGCAAGUGGAAUUCCCGGUGUAGCGGUGAAAUGCGCAGAUAUCGGGAGGAACACCGGUGGCGAAGGCGGCUUCCUGGACCGACACUGACGCUGAGGCGCGAAAGCUAGGGGAGCAAACGGG